UUGAAAUUGCCUGGGGUCUAUGAAGUCUUAUUUUAUAAUGAAACUGAAGAUUGCCCAGGGAUGAUGUUAUGGAGAUAUCCAGAACCUAGAGUGCUCACCCUUGUACGAAUAACUCCUGUACCUUUUAACACCACAGAGGAUCCAGAUAUUAGCACAGCAGACCUUGGUGAUGUGCUACAGGUUCCUUGUAGCUUGGAAUACUGGGAUGAACUCCAGAAGGUUUUUGUUGCAUUUAGAGAAUUUAAUCUGUCUGAAAGCAAAGUUUGUGAACUGCAGUUGCCGGAUAUCAAUCUCGUGAAUGACCAGAAGAAAUUAGUAUCUUCAGAUCUUUGGAGAAUUGUCUUGAACAGCAGUCAAAAUGCAGCUGAUGACCAAAGCUGCACCACAGUAUCUACAGCCAUUUGUUUCCGACAGAAAUAUGCCAUCUGAACUAGAAUACAUGAUUGUUUCCUUCAGAGAACCACACAUGUAUCUUCGACAGUGGAAUAAUGGUUCUGUCUGUCAGGAGAUCCAGUUCUUAGCUCAAGCAGA
rnacentral:sRNA from 1 species